rnacentral:lncRNA from 1 species
AUGGCCUGAAUUUUUGAAGGAUCAGCUUGUACACCAUUUGCUGAAAUCAGGUGUCCUAAAUAGUCAAUAGAAAGGACCCCAAAUUGGCAUUUGGAUAGUUUAGCAUAGAAUUGGUGGGUAGCGAGUAAAGCUAGGACUUGAUUGAUGUGAGUGAGAUGUAAUUCCCAUGUGGGGCUGUAGAUUAAGAUGUCGUCAAAGAAGACGAGGGUGAAUUUGCGGAGGUAGGGUCGAAGGAGGUCAUUCAUGGCGGCUUGGAAGGUUGAGGGGGCGUUAGAUAAGCCAAAAGGCAUCACUAGAAAUUCAUAGUGGCCGUCAAACGUGCGAAAACCAGUUUUGUGAAAAUCUUCCGGAACUAAACGAAUUUGGUGGUAAUCGGACCUUAAAUCAAUUUUGGAGAAAUAGGUUGCUCCAUGUAACUCAUCUAAGAGCUCGUCAAUGGUUGGUAUGGGGAAACGGUCCUUGAUGGUGAUGUUGUUAAGAGCCCUAUAAUCUACGCAAAACCGCCAGGNGGUCCUUGAUGGUGAUGUUGUUAAGAGCCCUAUAAUCUACGCAAAACCGCCAGGAACCAUCUUUUUUUUUCACUAGUAGGACGGGUGAGGAAUAUGGGCUAGUGCUAGGUUGGAUUAUCCCAUCUUGUAACAUUUCUUUAAUAAGGUUGGUCAUGGUUUCUUUUUGAUAGUGGGGGUAUCGGUAUGGUUUGAUGUUGAUAGGAGUAGCAUUGGGUUGGAGGUGAAUGUGAUAGUCAUGAUAUCUUGAAGGUGGUAAACCUUGUGGUUUUGAGAAAAUGGGAAGGUAGUUAUUAAGGAUAGGUUGUAUGUCAGGGUGAAAGGUUUGAAUGAGUUGUACAUCUGUUAAAGGAUUGGUGCUUUGUGGUGGUGAAAUAUGUGUGGGAUGGGUGGGGACCAUGGAAAUAGAGUGAAAGGUUGCAAUGGCAUUAGUUUGUAGCAUGCGGUGUAGUUGGUGAGCAGAAGCUUGUGUUAGGGUCUUAGGUUUAGAACCAGUGAUGGUGAGGAGAGCAUCAUUGUGAUAAAAUUGCAUAGAAGGAACACUAAAAUCAGAGACAAAUGGCCCUAAAGUUUGCAACCAUUGAACCCCAAGAACCACAUCAGCCCCUUGGAUAGGAAGAACGUAAAGGGAAACCGUGAAAAGAUGUUGGUCAACCAUUAAAGGGGUCUCUUUGCAAAGACCUGUGCAAUGUAAGUGAUCACCGUUACCUACCAUCACUGAAAAAGAUGACAAGGGUUGGAUAGGGAGGUGUAAGAAAGAGGCUACGCGCGGUUGAAUGAUGUUAUGGGAGCUGCCUGAAUCGACCAAAACUGUAAUGUGGUGGCCAUGAAUGGAUGCAGUGAAGCGUAAGGUGCGGGGGGAGGGAUGGCCAGUGGCAGCUUGGAUGGACAAUUGGAAUAGUGUUGGUUCAGUGUUAAGUGGUUCUGUAAUGGUGACAUUUGUGUCGUGUUGAGUAAUAUCAGGGUCUGUUUGGGAUUCGAGUAAUGGGACUGGGUCUGUUUGUGUAAUGAGAGCACAUAAAUUAGCAUCUGACGGUGUGGAGUCAUCGGUAUCCAGGAGUAACAAGAAUUGUUUGGAUUUACAGCGAUGGCCAGGAUGAAAUCGCUCAUCAUAGUUAAAACACAAUCCUUGUGUGCGUCUUUGUUGCAUCUCUGUGGGGGUCAAUCGCUUAAUAGGAAAAGGGGUUUGAGGGAGUGUGUUAUGUUGGGGUAAUUGAUGCGGGGGAGUGGGUAGAAGCGGGGGUUUUGGAUAUUUAGAUGUAGUAGCUUGGAAAGGCCGUGUGACAGAGGUUUUAGAUUCAAUGAGCUUUGCAAGGCCUAUGGCCUGGGAAAUGGAUGUAGGUUGAUGGACAGCAAGUUCAUUUUGGAUAUGGAAUUUUAAACCUGAGACAAAACAGUCAGUGAUAGCCAAAGGUGAUAGACCUGUUACCCUAUUAAAAAGACGUUCGAAAUCCCGUUGAUAGUCAGCAACUGCUGCUGUUUGUUUGAGUUUGAAAAGGGCUUGUUGAUGGUUGUCGUAAGCAGACGGGUCCCAAGAACGCAACCGUCCAAGCUGCGUACGUGAAACGCCCCUCCAUUGUGAACAGCCGAGAGUUGAUUGUUGACACUCCCACUGGUCAACCCCCCCACCAAGGGCGUCACCAGUCAUCGUAGUCGGCAACGUGAGCUAAUCGUUGGUGGUGGGGAAUGGCGUAGUGAGCGAAAAACUGGUUAGCUUGGAAGACCUAAUCGAAGGGUUUGUGCCGUCAAAAGCAAGAGGCGUAACUUGGGUGGUUUCAUCGUGAAGAUCAGCUGUGCGUGGUGCUGGCUAGGAGAAAUCUGGGCUUGGACAGGAAUUUGGGAUUGUAGAGAUUCCAUGGAAGAUAAAUAAUCCUCAUGGCGUUGGUCUUGAGUGUUCCGGAAAGAGGAAAAGGCUGCAGUGAGGUUAUUAAUGGAUUCGUGUAGUUGUUGGAGGGUAGGUGGUUCAGAUGGUUGUUGUCGGGGAGGCAUGAUAUCAAGUAAUGAGAGCACCAAAUGUUAAGAAAAAUAUGCAGGAAUUAAAUUCCCUUGUGUCAGGGAAAGUCUGAGAGAAAAGAUAGAUUUUGGGAUAAUAAUUUUCUGCCUUUUUCAUUACUCUUUGUGUCCUUAAAUAGACUGCAAGGAAUACAACUGUGCCUUAAUCAUAUGAUCUAGAGACACUUGUCAGCAUCUACUACAUUUGAAGAAGAGAAACUAAAUUAUUCUUAUCCUAAAUAUUGCCAGGUACUAAUGGUAAUAAAGGCUGGAGAUAGUACUAUGACAGCUCACAAGCUUAUCACCUCAAGAUAUUUGUUCACAUUCUGAACCUAAUGGGCAAUUGGGCUGAUCUUUUGGGCCUUUCUCUUGGCACAAUAUUGGAGCUGCUGUUUGUUAUUUUAUUUUUUCUUUCUUUGUGUUGUUGGGACCCAUUUGGUUUGUAACAAUAGUUUUCGUUGAUGUUCAUAUGAUGCAUAUAAACCAAAAGAAAGAGAACUUACAUUGUCAAAAGUUGUUGAUUUUACAUUUUUAAUAUCAUAUCCUUCAGUGAUUUAAGUGAUAUAAACAAAUUGUAGUGAAAGAAAAAUAUUUAGGAAUUAACUAAAAGGGAGAGAGAAAAAGAAAUAAUUAAUUUGUUAAGUAAAAGAAAGUAAGAAUUAUUUUAAAUUGAAAGAUAAUGAAGUUACUAACCACUUAAUUUUGUAACUGAUGUAAGGUAUCAAAGA